GAGGGGGAGAGGGGGGGGGGGUCUUUCGGCAGAAUCACUCUGGACCUAGUUUCAGAAGUCCUCAUCUCUACAGCAGGCAUAAGUAGGUCAAAGAAAGUGGGUGACAGGGUGUCAAGAGUUUGGGUGUCGCUCAGCAUGAAAAAAAAAUACCUUCCAAUUACCUGGUGACACGGUAGACCCCCCCCCCUCUGGAGUUGGGACUACAGUCCUGCAAAAAAACACAGGGGGCAGUAAACACUAUUAUGUGGGAGAAUGUCCCAGCUGACAGUGACAGAAGGGAACUUCCACAGUCAACGACCUUCUUGGUACCUGGUAGCUGGUGGAUUGAGACAGUGGAGCAGCCAGUUAAAAACACAUGACGUAAACACUGUGUGUGUGAGAAUCUAACACCUGGCAGGCAUAACAAUGAGAGUUUAGAAUUCACAUGUGAAAAACAUUAUUGGUAGUACUGCUAGACAGCUACGGUGCAGGUAUUGAGACUGCGUAGCAAGCAUGAAACCUCCUCCUUGGUACAGCAGCGUAGGUACAGUCGGAAAAAGGGAGGGCUGUCUGCCAAUGCGUGACCUAUCCCCUACAUAGCCCUUAUACAAGUGUAACGCUCCGCUUUCACUCUGUCUCUGCGUGGGUGCUGUGAGUCUAGAGGGACUCUAUGGAGGGGGGGGGUGGAGCUGAAGACCAAGCUGUCUGCAUGACAGAUGGAAAACCCAAUCGCUUCCCGAUGCCGCGUUUGUCUUGUAGUAUUGCGUUGCAGAGACAACGUAUGCAUCUAAUUGUAAGCUGUAGACGGCUUGACAGAAAUGGUAGCAGAAGGUGAACGUUGAAUUUUUUGUUGCGCACAUAUCCAAAUGAUGUCGCGUAACAUUUGACGCAACAACGCUGUCGGUGUGAUAGAAGCGUAGUCCCGUCAUAGUUCACUACAUGUCACAUUGUUCCCUUGUACACUCUGUCUGUAGCUGUCACAUUGUUCCCUUGUACACUCCGUCUGUAGUCGUCACAUUGUUCCCUUGUACACUCCGUCUGUAGUCGUCACAUUGUUCCCUUGUACACUCUGUCUGUAGCUGUCACAUUGUUCCCUUGUACACUCCGUCUGUAGUUGUCACAUUGUUCCCUUGUACACUCCGUCUGUAGUCGUCACAUUGUUCCCUUGUACACUCCGUCUGAUUUUGUCACAUUGUUCCCUUGUACACUCCGUCUGUAGUUGACACAUUGUUCCCUUGUACACUCCGUCUGUAGUCGUCACAUUGUUCCCUUGUACACUCCAUCUGUAGUCGUCACAUUGUUCCCUUGUACACUCCGUCUGUAGUCGUCACAUUGUUCCCUUGUACACUCCGUCUGUAGUCGUCACAUUGUUCCCUUGUACACUCCGUCUGUAGUCGUCACAUUGUUCCCUUGUACACUCCGUCUGUAGUUGUCACAUUGUUCCCUUGUACACUCCGUCUGUAGUUGUCACAUUGUUCCCUUGUACACUCCGACUGUUGUCGUCACAUUGUUCCCUUGUACACUCCGUCUGUAGUUGUGACAUUGUUCCCUUGUACACUCCGUCUGUAGUUGUCACAUUGUUCCCUUGUACACUCCGUCUGUAGUUGUCACAUUGUUCCCUUGUACACUCCGUCUGUAGUUGACGCAUUGUUCCCUUGUACACUCCGUCUGUAGUUGACACAUUGUUCCCUUGUACACUCCGUCUGUAGUUGUCACAUUGUUCCCUUGUACACUCCGUCUGUAGUUGACGCAUUGUUCCCUUGUACACUCCGUCUGUAGUUGACACAUUGUUCCCUUGUACACUCCGUCUGUAGUUGUCACAUUGUUCCCUUGUACACUCCGUCUAUAGUUGACGCAUUGUUCCCUUGUACACUCCGUCUGUAGUAGUGACAUUGUUCCCUUGUACACUCCGUCUGUAGUUGUCACAUUGUUCCUUGUACACUCCGUCUGUAGUCGUCACAUUGUUCCCUUGUACACUCAGGUUGUGUAACUGAUGCACAAUGCAUGGAUGAGUUUGUCUGAACAGGAACGUUCCCAUGGAUGAGUUUGUCUGAACAGGAACGUUCCCAUGGAUGAGUUUGUCUGAACAGGAACGUUCCCAUGGAUGAGUUUGUCUGAACAGGAACGUUCCCAUGGAUGAGUUUGUCUGAACAGGAACGUUCCCAUGGAUGAGUUUGUCUGAACAGGAACGUUCCCAUGGAUGAGUUUGUCAGAACAGGAACGUUCCCAUGGAUGAGUUUGUCUGAACAGGAACGUUCCCAUGGAUGAGUUUGUCUGAACAGGAACGUUCCCAUGGAUGAGUUUGUCUGAACAGGAACGUUCCCAUGGAUGAGUUUGUCUGAACAGGAACGUUCCCAUGGAUGAGUUUGUCUGAACAGGAAUGUUCCCACGAGCGUGGCGUGGAGCGUAAUGAGCCAUCAGGAGCACUGAACGAGGACAACAACAUGUGACUGUGCUGCUAGACACCAACUCAGCUACAUCUCAAAUCAAAUGUUAUUUAUCACAUGCACCGAAUACAACAGGUGUAGACCUUACAAACCUUUAACUAACAAUGCUAUUUUUAGAAAAUAAAGUGUUAAGAAAGUAUUUACUCAAAUAAACUGAAGUAAAACAUUUAUUAUUAUUAUUAAGGAGCAACAAUAAAAUAAAAGUAGCGAGGCUAUAUACAGGGGGUACCGGUACAGAGUCAAUGUGGAGGCUAUAUACAGGGUGUUACGGUACUGAGUCAAUGUGGAGGCUAUAUACAGGGGGUACCGGUACAGAGUCAAUGUGGAGGCUAUAUACAGGGGGUACCGGUACAGAGUCAAUGUGGAGGCUAUAUACAGGGGGUACCGGUACAGAGUCAAUGUGGAGGCUAUAUACAGGGGGUACCGGUACAGAGUCAAUGUGGAGACUAUAUACAGGGGGUACCGGUACAGAGUCAAUGUGGAGGCUGUAUACAGGGGGUACCGGUACUGAGUCAAUGUGGAGGCUAUAUACAGUGGGUACUGGUACAGAGUCAAUGUGGAGGCUAUAUACAGAUGGGUACCGGUACAGAUUCAAUGUGGAGGCUAUAUACAGGUGGUACCUGUACAGAGUCAAUGUGGAGGCUAUAUACAGGGUACCGGUACAGAGUCAAUGUGGAGGCUAUAUACAGGGGGUACCGGUACAGAGUCAAUGUGGAGGCUAUAUACAGGGGGUACCGGUACAGAGUCAAUGUGGAGACUAUAUACAGGGGGUACCGGUACAGAGUCAAUGUACGGGCGGCAACGGUUAGUCGAGGUAAUUGAGGUAAUAUGGAUGGAUAAUAUAGGGAGAACCACUUUCCUGGCACUAAUCACUUAAGAUGUUCAGUAUCUUGUUUCUUUUGCCUCAUUAACCCCCCAGCAGAAAUCUAAUUAGCUUAAUAAUACAAAAUCCCCAUCUAAAUCCCCAUCUAAAAUCCCCAUCUAAAUCCAUCUGUUUAAACAAGAGAUAACAAUACACUAACUGCCGUGUUUGUCAGACCAUGAGACAUCCUGAAAAUCGCUCUUUUCACGAACCAUUUGCGUCCGAACCAUUUGCUCAGUGUCAGCCUCUCAACGUCUCAUCACGACAACACAGAUGUCCAUAAUUCUCCGAUUAUUUCAUAUUUUUUCAGAAACAUGCCACGAGUUGUUCAGUCCAAAACACUGUUGAGCAACAAGACAACAACUUUUCCAGGUAGUGCCUGUUUUUCUGAUCAUCCAACAGAAAACAAAUAUUUUUGAAAGGCCCUAUGAUACACAGAGCAACUGUUAUCUAGAGUCAACAAUGUUCUGCUUUUUUUAGCUGGAGGGCGGCUGGCUGAUUCCAG
rnacentral:lncRNA from 1 species